rnacentral:rRNA from 1 species
AGCAGCCGCGGUAAUUCCAGCUCCAAUAGCGUAUAUUAAAGUUGUUGCAGUUAAAAAGCUCGUAGUUGAAUUUCGGGGUCAGUAGGUCGGUCGUGCCACUGGUAUGAACUGGUCUCACUGAUUCCUCCUUCUUGAAGAACCGUAAUGUCAUUAACUUGGUGUUGCGGGGAAACAGGACUGUUACCUUGAAAAAUUAGAGUGUUUAAAGCAGGCUAGCGCCUGAAUACAUUAGCAUGGAAUAAUGAAAUAGGACGUUCGAUCCUAUUUUGUUGGUUUCUAGGAUUGACGUAAUGAUUAAUAGGGAUAGUUGGGGGCAUUAGUAUUCAGUUGUCAGAGGUGAAAUUCUUGGAUUUAUUGAAGACUAACUACUGCGAAAGCAUUUGCCAAGGAUGUUUUCAUUAAUCAAGAACGAAAGUUAGGGGAUCGAAGACGAUCAGAUACCGUCGUAGU